rnacentral:misc_RNA from 1 species
AAGAGACGUUGCCCUUCGGGGUAUACCUCCCACCCUCUGUUUAUUAUACCUUUGUUGCUUUGGCGGGCCCGUCCUCGGACCACCGGCUUCUGCUGGUCAGUGCCCGCCAGAGGACCUAAAACUCUGUUUGUUAAUAUUGUCUGAGUACUAUAUAAUAGUUA